UGUACGUGGGUCCCAUACGUGGGAGGGACCCCACAAUAGAAUGCUAUUAACAUAAAGAAGUAAAAAGCAUGCAUGCUUUCUUUGAUGGUUAUGUGGAUUCCAGGAGCACUUUAAAACAGUUUGUUGAACAAUAUGAGCUAGCCAUGUGAGACAAAAGUGAGAAGGAAUUUCACGUUGAAGAUAAAUCAAGGAUGGAGAACAACAUAUUCAUAAUGCAAUUCAAAAUGAAGCUGAAAAUGAAAUUAUUAAAUGUCAAUUAGAUGAAAACAACAAUUUCAGUCAACGUACCAGUGGGAUUAAUUUUGACUUGAAUGAAGAGUACAUAUCAUUGGAUUAGCUCAUUUGAUAUGUAAUCUUUUGAAUUUUAAUUGUAAUGAAUCUUAUGUUGCUUGGAUUUAUGAAUUGUUGGUGUAUUUGAUA